rnacentral:rRNA from 1 species
CAGUCGCCGCGGUAAUACGUAGGGUGCAAGCGUUAAUCGGAAUUACUGGGCGUAAAGCGUGCGCAGGCGGUUGUGUAAGACAGGUGUGAAAUCCCCGGGCUUAACCUGGGCACUGCGCUUGUGACUGCACAGCUAGAGUAUGGCAGAGGGGGGUGGAAUUCCACGUGUAGCAGUGAAAUGCGUAGAGAUGUGGAGGAACACCGAUGGCGAAGGCAGCCCCCUGGGCCAAUACUGACGCUCAUGCACGAAAGCGUGGGGAGCAAACAGGAUUAGAUACCCGUGUAGUCCCUGUCUCUUAUAC